AACAUUUUCCCGUUUAUUCGCAAUGCUUAAGUGGCGAAAACAUCAAAACCAGAAGCCUUUUCCGGUCCUCUAAACUCCUUACUAAUCCACUGCUACUAUCAUAACAAGGCCUUAUUUUUACACCUCGACUAGCAGUGAUUCUAUCAACAAAACCUCUCAAUCACACGUUGCAAAACGUUUUUCCAUCAGAAAUCAGCUCCAAACACAGCUCGAUUAUUGCAGUAAAUAAUACCGCAAAGGAAAUGCCUACUAUGACGCACGUUCUCGAACGUCGACGCUUGCAACGCUACUCACUCGAUAACCAACUUGAAACGCAUUCACCACGUCGUGUCCGCCACUCUCUUACGAGCGCCGCUAAUAAAGAAAACUUCGGCGUUCAUUUUACACGAAGCCCUUUCGGCAAUACCUCGCUCACUGCAUUUCAGGACCUCAGCAAUGGGAAAAGUCCUUUGCGAGUCGAUUAUACACCAACUCGUCCACCCUUGCGUUGCCAAACUCAAGGCAAUAUGAAUUUAAACGUUAAACGUCGCAGCGGUACCCCAACCUCGCGCAGUCGUUUUUCGGACGAUUUUGUCAAUCCGGAGCCGCAGGAUACACCAUUAAGUCACUUGCGUUUCCGUAGCGCUUCCCGUGACGAUUCACUUUCUUCUUCGCGUAUGGGCGACGUAACACUUGACCGUAUGUUAGAUGCGAUUAUUGAGAGUGCGCGUAAGGAUGUAAAACAUGUGCAUGUGGUUAACCCCAGAGAUAGCGCUCAGCAGCAUGGGGUAAAAAGCGCGUUAAGAAGCUCUUCGCCUACUGUUGUUAGCGACAGUGAAAUCAGCGUACAUGAAAUGGAAGUGCGUACCCCGACACAUCUCAAGCGCCAACGUGUUGUACGGCGUAAGAAUACCAAAACCACGGAGUCCCGACGCAAAAUAGAUUCAAAAGAAGCGAAAUCAAUUGGAAAUGUGACUCCGCCACCACCACAACCGCAAUCUAUAAUCGGUGUUCCACUAACCGACGAUGCGCAUAGUCCGGACACACCACUUUUUAAGCCAAGUGCCGCGACUAACGCAGAGCUAUUGGCAAUGCAAACGCCACCAAAUUCAACAGAAAUCGUCGAUACUCUCACGACCACAGCAAUGGCCGGCGCAAGGACAGUAGAAGCUCAGUCGCAGCAGCGCUGCUCAACACCGACGUUAGAGGAGACACAUUCGAUUAAGCGUUGCCUAAGCUUUUCAUCGACGAGCGAUGACGAAUACGAUGUGGAUUUUAGCAACGCUGCGAAACGCAGUUCUGUGGCAUCAUCCAAUACAAGCUCCACAAUGGGCGAUCACUUCGGUUCGGGACAAACUUCACGACAUUCUCAGGGCUCAUGGAAAGCUGCUAACAGUGCUGCAGUGCGCGGCCACGUAGAACUAUCCAUACAAGUGGAGCAACAACAAUUAAAUGUACAUGUAAUACGUUGUCGCGAUCUGCAGCGACCCAAUGGUUCAACUGCUCUGAAUGCUUACGUUAAGGUUGCGUUGAUACGCAACAAGCCGGCUUCUAAGAAAAUGGACAACCACUUUCAACGCACCGCUGUGCACAGGCAUUCGAGUCGUCCGUACUUUGAUCAUCGCUUCAAGUUCGAUUUGGGCGCGAAACCACAAACACAGCAGCAAACUAAAACUGAUGUUGCUGGCGAACGUCUACAGCUGGCCGUGUGGCACCGAGAUCGUCAACUAAAACGCAGCGAGUUUUUAGGAUGCAUGUCCUUUCCUCUACACACAUUACUGCAGCAACCUGUUAAUGGAUUCUAUAAACUACAAUCGCAGGCAUGUCUGAAUAAACCACAGUCGCCAAUAUUAUUGCAGUAUCCGGUAGGAGUUACACACACAGCACAAGUCCACAGCCAGACUCAUCAAACCCCGAGCCCAAAGUUACGCAACAACCAAAAUCAUAGUAGCAACGAUAAAUUCAUUCACUUAAAUUCCCACUUGCAGCCCCAGACAGCUGUGCCAGAGACAAGUGUCGCCAACGCCGUACGCACAAUGACAUCAACUCUGACAAGACAGAAAAGCGAAGAGGAUGUCAUGAGCAUCGACAGCAUGGCUCAGGCGACAGCUGGCAACAAUAUCGAGCACCCGAUGACAUUGAGCCGGAAGGCUUUGCAUCAGCGUGAUGCCGAUGAGAAUCUGUUUUUACGUUUCCUCGAGUUGGACCCACCCACAGAUACAGCUGCGACCACAAAUGCCGCCAGUGCCACACCGUCCGCUUCGGGCGGGCGACGUCUGUCUGCCACUAGUAAAUCCGUUGGUCGUACACCAUUCACUAUGACUAAAAAACUGACGCGUACUGCCGAGCGUGGCUUCGGAUUUUCCAUUGUGUGGACACAUCCACCGCGUGUCGAAAAGAUUGAACCAGGUCUUUCUGCUGAUCGGGCUGGCAUACAACCGGGCGACUAUGUGAUUUUUGUAGACAAACAAAAUGUAGUAACGAUGCCAGAAGCGGAUGUGCUCAACCUAAUACGUUCACAAGGCUCUACGCUGACGCUAGAGGUUUUUAGACGAACCGGACCCACAGGAGGUGUAGGACUCGGCUCUAUGCCACCAGCGCUCAGUGUUGGCAGCCGCGGCCAUCCACCUGCACCGGUGAUGAAUGGAAAAGCUACACCAAAUACACGGUUAGCUAGUACCAUAAGCGAUGAGCAGCAGUCAGUUACUGGUGGCCCAACGCUUUCAGCACGCCGUGUCGGCGUUCCGAGUACAGCGCCAAUAUCAGCUGCAGCACCAGCAACAACAAUUGCUGUAACGAACGUACGUCCGUCCACAGCAUGCUCCGGUGGCACUACCUCGUCCAUUGAGGCCGCGAAACGGCGGCUGCACUUACCGCAGGUUACGUUCAGCAAGGAGUCUAUCGGGCCGAUUACAGAUAACCGUCGCCGCUUACUGUUGCAACUGAUCAGCCGCGAACAGAACUUUAUCGCAGCGCUGCACUUCGGCAUGCAGCGAUUCGUUCAGCCAUUGCAAGACCGCAAAGAUCUCAUCUCGCCAAAUGAUCAUCGAACACUCUUUCAGAAUAUUGACGAGCUUUUGCGCAUCUCCGAGGAUAUACUGGAACAGCUGUGCAAUGAUGAUCAGGAACCACAAAUGAACUUUGCUUCCCGUGUUUAUCUCUCGAAAACCACAGCUAUUUGUGCGGCUUACAAAAAGUAUUGCAAUGGCAUCAAGCGAGCUGACUGUGUGCUAGUGAACAAGUCACGACAAAUGGGCUCGGAGUUUGUUGCCUUCAUUACAGAACCUCAAGUGCCGCGAAAACGCCCAGACCUUACGAUGUUUAUUCAUAGACCCUUGCAGCAUUUUCGUGAAAUAUUGAAGCUAAUGCAACUGCUCGCUUCCAACUGUCAUGUCGAUACCGAGGAACAUAAAAAUUUCACUACUGUAAUCGCUGAGCUUCAGGCAGCGUAUCGCGAGAUUACUGUCAGCAGUGGCUUAAUGGAGCCACUUGGCGAAGGCCGGCCUUUGCUCACGUUGCAAGAUCUCGAGUCCCGCAUGGUCUUCACUAAGUGCAAACCAUUCACGCUGGCCGUACAGGGACGCCAAUGGAUAUUUGGUGGUGAUCUGUCACGCGUGGAAGGCCGCUCCGUGAAACCCUACUGGACCUUGCUCUUUAGUGAUAUCAUCGUGUUUGCAAAGGUCAGCCGAGACCGCGUGUUAUUCAUAACCGAGGAGCCCAUUCCUAUCGCAAAUAUUGUAGAUUCCUGUUUUCAUAUGCGUAAAAAAACCACAGAGUUCCGUCUUACAGUGGAUCCGAACGGACGCUUGGCCGAGAGUCCAACCGGCUAUUGUGCACCGGACCUCACUCGCACACCCAAGAAAAGUGCUCGUCGAAAGAGUCUUCUGCUGCGAGCGCCCUCUUUAGAGCUAAAAGCUGUCUGGCAGAACCUCUUACAACGUCAAAUUUUUUUGGUAAAUGCCGCACUUGGAUCGACACCCCUCUCAAGUCCACUAGAUUCUCCCGAUGUGCUUAAUACUCUAGUGCCACUGAGUGAUAUCGGAAUUGCGUCUGCAUCUAUUGGUUCGAUCAAGCACUCAUCCAUGGACAGCAUUAACGCAAAAAACAGUCAACAACAGCAGAAACGCCAUUCGAAUGCAUCGGAGCAAAUCGAAAUGUUAAUUGAUGAAAAGUGUCGCAUCCUAAACAAGACUGGCACUUCCAAGUCGAAUGCUCUUCAUCUUGCCAAUUGGAUGAAAGGUCAGCUGGAUAAACAACAGGAGCAAGCGAGACUGGCAGCGCAGCGCUCACGCGAGAAUAUCAGUCACGAAGAGGAGCACUUACUUUAUCCGGAGACUGAUCAAGAUGAGCGUAUAACCUUUUGGACAAGGCAGCAGCUUGAAAAGCGCACCAAAGAAUUAAAUUUGGCCAAAGAAAAUGGUAGUAUGAAGGCCCGGCCGAAUUUUGGCGGCAAACGUUUAAGUGGCGUGGAAGAGCUCAGCAUGAGUGAAGCCUACUCAGAGAACGUGAGUCAGUUGAGCCAAUCUCACAGCACCACUUCAGAUAGUCAGAUCACUGUACGCUCUAGUCCCAUUGUGCUUGAUAAGCUAGCAGUCUGUCGUCAUUGUCAUAAGAAUUGCCAGCAAGCCGCUUUGGGUCUUCAACAGUCAAUGUCACCCACUAUGCCCACCUCACAUCCGCAACGAUCGGCCAUUGGCGCAAUGAUCGCCGAAGGUAGUGCAGGUGGUGGUAGUGGCAGCGGACUGGUUUGUACGUCACUAAAGGUGCAACAUAGCCAGUCAUCACCCAAUCGCUGCUGCAGGCUCAAUGGAAAUGCUAGUCAGGCUGGCAGCACCACCAGCAUAUCAUCGAGUACUAUCACGGGCGAACAGCCCAGCGAACAUUCAUCCAAGGUAGUGGCUAGCAGUAGUAAACGGGAGACCGGUGAUACCGAAAGCGAUGUGGCGCAAUUAAUAACUGACGAUCUUUCGCAAUCAGAGGCUACGGACGACAGCAUCGGUGGAAUACCAAGUAGCAGCAGUGGAGUCGCCGCUGCAGAUGAAAUACAACGCCGACUCACCGACAGCUUCAGUAAAUUACGAAUUUUAGACGAACGACGUGAGGCAAAAGGUUUGGAUGCCAAGCCUGGACCACAACCUAUGCCUCGAAUACAGGACCCACAACAUAUUCAUCAGACGGUAUUUAUGAAUGGAUAUUGUUUAUCGAGCUCAUCUAGCGGCGAUAGAGACAACGAAAACAAAGCGGCUAGCGUCAAAAAACCACAGCCACAGCCAAGAACAUACCGAGUUACAUUACAAACUGCUACGAAGGAAACGGCAAAGGAAGCCGCUGACAAAAAGGUGAAAACGACUGUUACCAUUACUGAAACAGCGCAAAUAAUACGUACACAAGAGCAGGACCAGAUGCCGGAGGCGGAAAGCGCGCAUUUUGCGGAUACGAGUCGCAACACUACGAAAAGUUCUAAAUCUCCGCACACGCCUAUCAUGUUGAAAUCCCCCAAGUCGCCUGGCACCCCAGCAUCAGUGUCUCGGUUCAUAGCAUGCAAUUGUCAAUGUACACCCGCUGAUUUUAAAAAUACGACACUCAGCCCUGAUGAGGUAGAACAGCAGACUUGCAAACUGAUUGAUUCACCAAAGCAGUCACCCCAAAUGCCACGUCAACUGCAGUUGCAGGAGUCAGCGAAUAGCAUAAUAAGUGAAAAGACGCUCAAGUACUGCAAGUGCAUUUGCGGUGGUCAAUCGUUGGUUACUGCAAAGGAUGAGCAAUCGUCAUUCCAAUUUAAUGGUUUAUCGGCGAGACAAUUUAAUACAAAAGUCACACCCACUACUCCGCUGCCAACACCAACGUCUACUUCAGCACCAGCACCCCUGGCCGCUCCCAUGUAUGACAGCACCUUCGUGCCGACUAUCGCUGUUGUACCACCCACGCCUGAGGCGAUGCUUACCAUGACCUCGACGAAUGUGUGGGAUAAUAGCGGAACAAAUUUAACAACCAGCACAACAACUCAGCUGCAGCUAAACAACACACCACGACAGGCUGUUAUUGAGAAUAUUCCAGAGGACUCUUGCGAUGAGUCCCCACUAGACGAAGAACCGCCGUAUCGCCCGAUGAGUAAUGCCCUACGGCGCUAUGGUACCAUGUCCAGCUUGGAGAAAUUGCCCUCAGAUGAUCGGAUGGACGAUGAAAUAGACGAACUAGAUAAUGAUGAUGACAAAAGCGAAGUGCCUGACGAUACAGAAGAAGAUGAUGACGAUUUAGAUGAUAAAGCACGAGCCGAUACAGUGGACAAUUUGUGUGAAACCAGCAAGUCUAGCGUAUACAGCAACGAAGUGGUGGCUGGCGGAUCAUGUGUGUUGGUAGGUGGUGUCUGGACAAGUCGAGCAGGCGGACUGGUGGGAGGCAACAAAAUGUCCUUUUUCGAGGAAUCACGAGCAUUUAUCGAUAAAUAUUUAGGAAGGUGGAAUCAAGAACAAACGACUUCUUCACCUGCUGCCACUACAUCCGAAACAGACGAACAAGCCGACGAAUGCACCUCGGGUGCCACAUCUGGAGAGGAAGUGUGGGGAACGCCGACAAGUGGUGGAGACAAUGACGAUAUGCAUCUAGUGAACUCGGAAAAUACAUAUUCAUCGCCUACGAAGUCAAGCAAUUCACUGAAUGAUGAUGACGACACCGAGCUAAUGAUGGAUGAACUUCUUAUGGCGCCACCAAUGACUGCAAGCACCAUUCGAGGACUAUUGCCACGACGUCGCUUAGAGCCACUUUUUGAGGAGGAGACUGAAAGCGAUGAAGAAAAGACCCAGCAGGAAAGUGAUGAUGUUAAAAAGGUGGGGGGAAACAACGACAAAUGGCCACUAUUUAAAGGAUUCAGCUGGAAGCUCAAGCGACGAGGAUCUCUCGAACGAGAAGAGCUACGAAUUGGAGCUGGAGGAGAACGAGAACCAAACGCCAUUCGCCCCGAAGGCACCACAUAUACAUGGUCGUAUUCUACUGCCGACAUCAAUUCCGACGAGCUGGGAGCAGGCGUUCGCACAAUCUCAACCUCCUCAUAUGGCCAACAAGGUAGCUCUGCCAAUCGGUGUUCUGAAGGCCUCAUCUUGCGAGUACCUACUCGAACAGCGUACAAUGGUCCCACUGCGUACAACCAGCAUUACCAGCAGUCCACCAACAGUGAGAGCCACUUCGGCAACGCCAAUGAAAGCAACAACUCCGCCAUUGGCGAAAGUAGAAGUGGAAUUGGAGGCGGCGUCACAACAGACUGUCACGAUGCAAGUGGAGAUGAAAGCGACGAUGAGGAGUACUACUACUAUGAUGAUGACGACGACGCGGACAAUCAAGACGCCACCAUCGCCACGGAAUCAACCUCAUUCAUCGAUUUCUACAACAAUCAACAGCGCGAGCGCCAGUAUCGUGAAAAGCAGCUGCAACAACGGCAGUGGGAGUACCCAAACUACAUCCACAACAACUGUACGACCAGCGAAAUUCGUACCACCGCCGCCUCCACCGCGCCGACUAUUAUUAACACAAACAAAUUUGCAGACAAGUGGCAGGGUAAUGCCGAAGGCGCCAGUACCACCUCAACGAAGUUCUGGCGCUUCUGCUGACGUUGGCUACUCAGCGGUUGUAAGCACCGCCGACGAAAAUACAAAUGCAACCCGCGCAGUCGCUAUGCCUACCACAAAAGUAGUACCGUUGGAAGCGAUGGGGAAGGCGACAGCGAACCAGAAAGCAACCGGUGGCAAUCAGCGCUCUGCUGUCGCCGCCGCCGUUGUACCAACAACCGCAAAGCGGGUGUCUUCAACGAUAAUAGAGACAUCACUGCUGGGGUCAGGCACCAACAAGGCAGCCUCCACAUUAUUAACAACAGCUUCGAAGACGACGAAGGAAUCAUUGCAGGAGGACCGGCAACAACAAGCGCAUCCGUUACAGAAAAUUGCAACCGAAGCAGCGACGAACUCGAUGGUAGCGCAAUACGGCAACGAAAGUUCAAAAUCGGACGUUGUCCCGGCGCCAAUUGGUUCGGGCUUAAGUCCGCGUCUAGAAAUGCGAUUGGCACUCAAUCACGACAUUCUCGGCGACGAAGACUUAAUUUGUUACGAUCCUGGUCCGGAUCUAACAAGAAUUUUGGGGCACGACCUAUCCACAUUUCAGCGACGGACGGGUCGCGAUUUAUUGAGUCGUUCAGCAACAAAUCGCGUUCAGCCAAAAGAGGCUGUCAUAUCGUUCUCUCAACAGCGAAACUCGAAGAUGGACACUCCGACUGUGAACCGACGUCCACGUCCGAGUUACGGCAACGUCAACACUUCUCUAACGACAGGUUUGGUUGGUGGCGCUCGCGUCGGUGGCGUUCCACAACCCCUGCUGCCAAAUCGAAAUACAUGGAGCAAUUCUGUAUCUGCGGAUCGGAACAGCGGCGUCUACGCAAGAGGCGACGAAAGCAGCAAAAGCUACAAUUACAGCAGCGACGAGAGCAAAUUAAGCGAUCUCGAAAUCUUAGCGAGACGAGAGAAGACAUAUUGCAUGUCUCAAUUGAAGAGUGGCUCACGAGUCAAGACGAAGACGACGGCGACAACAACCACAAUGACAAUGGAAACAAUGGGCAUGACGAUCAGCAGAGAUUCCUUGACAAGUCCUCAAGCGACGAGGAAGAGUACUUCUUCGAUGAGCAUGGAGAUUGAAACUGGUAAUGUGCGAUCACGUAAGAUCGGGCGUGAUGAGAGUGCGUUGAUUGAAGCGGGCAAAGGAUCUCGACUAAUUAACUUCAUAAAGCGACGCAACUCGGAAAGCCCGAUCUCUCCGAACUGUUCUCAGAGCUCACUAAGUGAAUCUAACGCAAGUGGUACACCAGUCCAUCGCCUCGCGGUACAAAUGUCACCACGAAAAGAUAAUGACAAACCUUCGCUAAAUCGCCGGCUUUGGAAGCAGAUCACUAAACGACGGCGCGCCAAUUCUAUCUCGGAAGUAGUUGCCAGCUAAUUUUACACACAUAUGUCGUCGUGGGUGCUAAACCGCAUGAGCUAUUCACCGCUACACGUCCCGGGCUAAAUAUAUGCUAUUUCCCUAGUGGUAGAUACCAUUUCCAAAGCGACCUCUAUAGACUUAAAAAAGCGAAAUAAUCGAGAAAGCAAAGUAUUGGGAUAUUUUUUUCUAGAACGUAAGCGUAGUUGUUGUUGCUGUUGUUCAGUAGGACAGGUUACGUCUGGCGAUGAACUGCUUUAAGUUUUAAAAAGUUUGACUUUUCGAAAAAAUAGAGGUACAAUGUUCGGAUAUUUGUAGAAUAAGCGUAUUUUGAUAGAUUUGUAAGCGUCAGAAAUUCAGUUAGUGAAGACAGAGCAUAAGAAAGCGAUCGGUAACGUAAUCAUAUUAUACAGAAACAAGCGACAAAUUAUUUGCUUUUUAAGUAACACCAUAAGCGGUCGGUGAAACAGAAAACGGGAAGAAGAUAUAUUAAGGUUCUGCGUGCAGUAUAUGUGUAGGUAAAUCAGCGUUAAGAAAAUUUUAAAUUCGGAAUAUUUUAUUAAAUAAAGCACAGGUUAUUUUCGGUGCACUUAACAAUAAAUCUCGGGUGUGGGUGCGUGUAAAUCCGAUAAGUUCUACAUGCGGUUUUAGGUAUUUUUUAGUAAAGUUAUGGGAUUUCUAUAUACGAUUAUGCACGUAGAAAACAAAUAAAUAGUAGGUAUGUAACUUUGUCCAAUUUAAUGCAAAUCAGUCCAUUUAUUUGCGCUUCUUGUGCAGUGAUAACACGCUUGUCCAUAAUUUAUUGCACAUGCACACACGUCACUAAAAGACUCAGCAACUUCCUGCCACUGAAGGUUUAAAUAAAGACGAAAGUAGUAACCAAAAGUUUACAUAUAAACUAAAACUUACAGAUAAGAUAAUUUAACUCAAUCUCAUAGAAUAUUUUUUGCUGUUUACCGAUUUUUGGACUUAGACGACUUUUGUUUGGAAUAUUAAUGAAAAUAGUAAAUCAUGAGAUCUACUAUGGCAAUAAAGUACAUGCAAUAAUUUUUAGUUGAGGCUUUUCAUGCAGUUUAGAGCUUUCAUUGAGCUUUCCGGCGAACACGAUAGCUUAAUGCGAUAUUAUUAGCUACACGCUAAGUUGUGGAAAUAUGAAAGAAGCUAUGAUAAUACAUUUUAUUAUUAAUGAUAUUCGAAUACAUCAGAAAUAUAUUAUAAAUUUAAAUUACUUUAAUUAAUAAAUGCAGAGAAUUACUCUGACAUUCAUGCGAAUUUUUAAAUUAAAAAUAAUUAAAUAAAACUCAAGUUUAAGCUUUAAUGACAAAAUCAGUAAAAACAAAAUAUUUCAAAUUUAUUAGGUAUUUUGAAUACAUAACUGCAUUGAUAUUGAAUUAAUUCAAAUUUUACGGUAUUUAAAAUUGGGAAAAGUCCACGAAUGAAAAAUCUAAAAACAUAGAUAUAGAAACAGUACAACUGUUUAUUAUGAAUAACAUAAAUGACUUUAGAGACAUAAGAUUAAUUCAUAAAAAAUGUUUAGAAGAAAAUCAUAUUGCUGUAAUCAAAAUGGAGGUAUUUUAUUAUUUAUCAGAAACCUUCGGUAAUGAUAAUAUUUGAAAGCAAUUCUUUAAUAACGUAAAAUUUUUAAAUCAUUCCUUAAUUGGAAAUACUUAAAUUCUUUACAGAAUAGAUGUUAUGUCGCAAGUUGGUGGUGAGUUUUUGGUAUUUUUACUGUUUAGCACUUUGUUCGUGUGGGUGUCUUUAGUAAAUUUAUGGUCAAGUAAAAUAUUUCGAAAUAUAUAAGAUUAACAUAUGUAUCUAAUGAAAAUUUUACUUUAUUAAUAUAUUAAUAAUUAUUGAAUAUGUAUACAUAUUUAAUAAUCAAACAAGCAAAAAUAAAGUGUAACUAAUUGAAAAA